ACUAGCAGUAAGAGUUUGAUCCUGGCUCAGAUUGAACGCUGGCGGCAUGCCUUACACAUGCAAGUCGAGCGGCAGCGCGGGGGCAACCCUGGCGGCGAGCGGCGAACGGGUGAGUAAUGCAUCGGAACGUGUCCUUUGUGGGGGAUAACCAGUCGAAAGACUGGCUAAUACCGCAUGAGCUCGCAAGAGGAAAGCAGGGGACCCGCAAGGGCCUUGCGCGAGAGGAGCGGCCGAUGCCCGAUUAGCUAGUUGGUGGGGUAAUAGCCCACCAAGGCGACGAUCGGUAGCUGGUAUGAGAGUACGACCAGCCACACUGGGACUGAGACACGGUCCAGACUCCUACGGGAGGCAGCAGCAAGGAAUUUUGCGCAAUGGGCGAAAGCCUGACGCAGCAACGCCGCGUGGGGGAAGAAGGCCUUCGGGUUGUAAACCCCUUUUGCGAGGGAAGAAGAUCUGACGGUACCUCGCGAAUAAGCCACGGCUAACUACGUGCCAGCAGCCGCGGUAAUAC
rnacentral:rRNA from 1 species